CACUGGAAACGCACACACACACACUCACACAUCCUUUUCAAACACUGCUGCUGCUGCUGAUGCUGCCUAUGAUGUGAUGAAAAAGAAUGCGAAAUGUGGAUGCCGACAUUAAAAGACAGACUUCGACGCUGCUCGCUGCUAAAAUACAUUCAAGCCAAAAAAAUACAAAAGCAGACAAAGCCACUCGCUAUUAAUAAAUACGUAUGUGUGUGCUUAUGAAUGUGUGUGUGUGUGUACAUACAGUAAAAUGGCGAAAGCAAAAAGAAAACCUGAGCAACACCUUAUUCCGAGCUGUCAAUGCAAACUGAUAUAGCUGCUAUACAUGAUAUAUAUGUGUAUAUAGUAAACAUAAGCUGUAAAUAGCGACCUCAUGGAACUCGGAGACCACAAACGCAAGAGCCACAAAAUUUUGCCGCUGUUCGAGCUGACGACGCACUUUUGAAGAGGGGGAGACCUCAUGUCGGACAAUCGAAAUGAGCUUGUUUACUUUUGCGCAGAGGUAAAAUUUAUGCCAAGUGCUUCGUGCAAGGGAGCCAGGGAGCAAGGAUGCGCCAUGGAGCAUACAUACUUCCGGCACGUCACAACUUGACUUGACUCCAAAAACUUGGCCACUCUCUUUCUUGAAGAAGAAGGCUGAGCAGAAGGAGCUGGGGGAGUGAAAAGUGGACUAAGAAGAGUAGCUUGCGGAACGUGCCCUGAUGUCUCAGAGCACUCAACGAGGCACGCAUCCAUAAAGAGCAACAAAUUGCGAGGAGUUCGCUUUUGAUAACUCUUGAUUGAAAGACAUCUUGUGAUUCCAGCUUCGAUAUCGGGCUAAAGA